UGAGGAAUAUUGGUCAAUGGGCGGGAGCCUGAACCAGCCAAGCCGCGUGAGGGAAGAAGGUACAGCGUAUCGUAAACCUCUUUUGUUCAGGGAACAAAGGCGGGGACUAGUCCCCGGAUGAGGGUACCUGAAGAAAAAGCAUCGGCUAACUCCGUGCC
rnacentral:rRNA from 1 species